rnacentral:rRNA from 1 species
UAGGGAAUCUUCGGCAAUGGGGGCAACCCUGACCGAGCAACGCCGCGUGAGUGAAGAAGGUUUUCGGAUCGUAAAGCUCUGUUGUAAGUCAAGAACGGGUGUGAGAGUGGAAAGUUCACACUGUGACGGUAGCUUACCAGAAAGGGACGGCUAACUACGUGCCAGCAGCCGCGGUAAUACGUAGGUCCCGAGCGUUGUCCGGAUUUAUUGGGCGUAAAGCGAGCGCAGGCGGUUUGAUAAGUCUGAAGUUAAAGGCUGUGGCUCAACCAUAGUUCGCUUUGGAAACUGUCAAACUUGAGUGCAGAAGGGGAGAGUGGAAUUCCAUGUGUAGCGGUGAAAUGCGUAGAUAUAUGGAGGAACACCGGCGGCGAAAGCGGCUCUCUGGUCUGUAACUGACGCUGAGGCUCGAAAGCGUGGGGAGCGAACAGGAUUAGAUACCCUGGUAGUCCACGCCGUAAACGAUGAGUGCUAGGUGUUGGAUCCUUUCCGGGAUUCAGUGCCGAAGCUAACGCAUUAAGCACUCCGCCUGGGGAGUACGACCGCAAGGUUGAAAC